UACGAAGGGGGCUAGCGUUGCUCGGAAUCACUGGGCGUAAAGCGCACGUAGGCGGCUUUCUAAGUCAGGGGUGAAAUCCUGGAGUUCAACUCCAGAACUGCCUUUGAUACUGGAGAGCUAGAGUCCGGAAGAGGUGAGUGGAACUGCGAGUGUAGAGGUGAAAUUCGUAGAUAUUCGGAAGAACACCAGUGGCGAAGGCGGCUCACUGGACCGGCAUUGACGCUGAGGUGCGAAAGCGUGGGGAGCAAACAGG
rnacentral:rRNA from 1 species